CCUACGGGAGGCAGCAGUGAGGAAUAUUGGUCAAUGGACGAGAGUCUGAACCAGCCAAGUAGCGUGAAGGAUGACUGCCCUAUGGGUUGUAAACUUCUUUUAUAUGGGAAUAAAAUGUUCCACGUGUGGGAUUUUGUAUGUACCAUAUGAAUAAGGAUCGGCUAACUCCGUGCCAGCAGCCGCGGUAAUACGGAGGAUCCGAGCGUUAUCCGGAUUUAUUGGGUUUAAAGGGAGCGUAGGUGGAUGGUUAAGUCAGUUGUGAAAGUUUGCGGCUCAACCGUAAAAUUGCAGUUGAAACUGGCAGUCUUGAGUACAGUAGAGGUGAGCGGAAGUCGUGGUGUAGCGGUGAAAUGCUUAGAUAUCACGAAGAACUCCGAUUGCGAAGGCAGUUCACUGGACUGCAACUGACACUGAGGCUCGAAAGUGUGGGUAUCAAACAGGAUUAGAUACCCUGGUAGUC
rnacentral:rRNA from 1 species